GGAUCAUCUUUGGAGUGGUUCUUACAGUUGCCUUUGUGUCCUUUGUUAGACUGAUAAAAUGCUGUGGCAAAGGUUCAGAUUUUUGCAACAAAGAAAAUGUUUAUUACAAAGUGAUUUUAGCAAAGGAGAAAAAGGUUCGGAAAGAUAUGCUGACAACGGAAGCAAUAAAAGAUUUGAAUGAAGAAAUUGAAAACAAAAUUAGCAAAGUUCCAUGGACAAAAUGUUUCGAUGUGGCUGCAGAACUGAUUGACAAAAAAACUAAACCUCUCGGAAGAGGAAGGGGUCAGCCCGACACUUCAGCAACAGGAGGAGCAGGAGGAGCAGCAGGAAGAUCAAGAGAAACAUCAGGAGCAGCAUCACAGGAACUUGAAGUAUUUGUCAAAAAAGAUACAGGACAGGCAAGCAGUGAAGAUGAGUCAGGACCCGUGUGAUCAGACAUUAUCUUUCUGAUGACACACUUCAGACUGAGUUUUAAACUGUGACUGUGAUGUUUGUGAUGGAUGCAGUCCAGAGAUGUUUUUGUUGCUUUUGUUUUUUCUGACAGCAGUUUAACAAAAUGUUUCUGUUGUGAUUUAUCUUUCUGUAUAUAACUAUGAGACGAGCUCUCAGCUCUCAGUGCUCUGCUCAACUUAAUCAGGUGUGAGACUGCAAAUUAUGAUGCAAAUGUAAAUAAAAAGAUUAAAGUUCUGUACAGGAGGUUCAAAUAAUAAUCUUUUCUAAAUGUGAUCCUGUCAGAAGAUGGUCUCUGGUUAUUUUUAUUUAGAAUGUUUGAGGGAAAUUUUCUAAUGUCCCUUAUUAUUUUGAUAUGUUGUUCUUACAUAUGAAGGAGUUGUAGAUGCAACAUUAUUAUGUAUGUAAAGUGAAAUCUUAUAUCUGUUGACUUCUGACAUGCGCUCUGUCUGUAAUAGUUAUGUGGUGGAAUAAUGCUUUAUUGUUUUGAGUUAUUAUAAAGGAUGAGGAGAGACGGCCUCUCUUCAGUCAUCAUCUCUGUGCUGCUGAUGUGAGAUUCUUGCUUGCAAACAAUAAAGAACUUCUAGAAAAUAAAUAUUGUGUCAAACUCUCAUCUGCACUAGACACGCAACUGAUUUUCAGUCACCACGACAAAUGUGUGACUGAAUGAAUGCACAUUUAUUUUGGACAUGUGAAAACAAAACAAAACAAAAAUUAUAAUUAGUUCAACAAAUAAACAUAAUAAAAUGAAAAGCAUGUUACAAUGUAUAUUCCAUGAACAAACACUAGCUCCAUUCACACUGAUCUUUGAGUGCAGGAAUCCUGCAGUUGGCAGCUAGAAUCCUGAAAUUCAACUUUCC
rnacentral:lncRNA from 1 species